AGCGAACGCUGGCGGCAGGCCUAACACAUGCAAGUCGAACGAAGUCUUCGGACUUAGUGGCGGACGGGUGAGUAACACGUGGGAACGUACCUUUUGGUUCGGAACAACUCAGGGAAACUUGAGCUAAUACCGGAUGAGCCCUUAGGGGGAAAGAUUUAUCGCCGAAAGAGCGGCCCGCGUUAGAUUAGCUAGUUGGUGGGGUAAAGGCUCACCAAGGCUACGAUCUAUAGGUGGUCUGAGAGGAUGAUCAGCAGCACUGGGACUGAGACACGGCCCAGACUCCUACGGGAGGCAGCAGUGGGGAAUCUUGCGCAAUUGGCGAAAGCCUGACGCAGCCAUGCCGCGUGAAUGAUGAAGGUCUUAGGAUUGUAAAAUUCUUUUACCAGGGACGAUAAUGACGGUACCUGGAGAAAAAGCCCCGGCUAACUUCGUGCCAGCCGCCGCGGUAAGAC
rnacentral:rRNA from 1 species